GAGAAAGUGAGGAGAGAGAGAGAAGCGGGCAAUGCAGCGCUCCACUGGCUGACGGAUCCGGAUCCGCCGCCCCUCCGCCGCUAUAUGGGGGGAACAACCCUCGUGGAUGGCCUCCGUCGGAUCUUCCAGCGCCGACCCCAACGCCCUCUGAUCGCGCCCGCACCGCCCGACUCCUCCUCCUCCUCCGUCGCCGCCGUCUUCGACGACCCCGACCUCACCCCCCUCACCCGCAUCCGGGUCCCAAAGCGCUCGUGGAUGGCCGGGGUCUCACCCCAAAAAAAG
rnacentral:misc_RNA from 1 species